UUGACCGUGAAGCUCCACUCGUCGCGGUGCCCGGUCAGCGCCUGCUCGCCGAAGUACUCGCCGUCGCCGAGGGUGUCGAGCACGGUUUCCGUGCCGUACUCGCCGAGACCGAUCUUGCUGGCCUUGCCGUGUGCCAUCAGCACGAGCCGGUCGGCGGCCUGUCCUUUCUGGAUGAUCAGGUCACCUGCCUCGAACUCCUGUUGUUCGAACCGUUCGGCGAUCGCGGCCAGCGCAUCGUCGUCCUCGAAGGAGCGCAGCAGCGCCAGUUCCCGCAGCUCCGGCGGGACGACGCUGAUCCGCCCCGCGGCGCUGGUGAAGCUGACCAGUCCGUCGCCGAUGGCGUAGGUCAGUCGCCGGUUCACCCGGUAGGCGCCACCUUCGGCCUGUACCCACGGCAGGACGCGCAACAGCCAGCGCGGCGUGAUCCCCUGCAUCUGCGGUACGGACUUGGUCGUCGUCGCCAGAUUUCGCGCGGCCUGGGUGCCGAGGCUCAUCUGUUGCUGCGACUGGG
rnacentral:antisense_RNA from 1 species